ACCGAGACCAUUGGUUGGUAGUUGCAACUGGCUGCGGACAAUGGAUACUAGUGGCUGCCCAUUGUAAACACUAGGGCGAUGUGCUUAAGGGAGGGGCUAAAGGGAAGCCCGUCGUCUUGAGGUCCUAUUCCAAUUGAUCGUUUGCCUCUCUCCGCUCAGCGGCUCAGUCUGCAUUUCUACGGCCAUUCAAGUAGUAUUCCGCCAGAGAGAAGCACACGUAAAGCCUGGAAAGGAAAGCGAUUUCGAGGCGGCAGCUUCAGUCAAAGUUUGAAGAUCCUUUGAAGAAAAAUCAAGCCAACAAACUUGUCUGGCCAGAAAGGCUGAAGGCUGCAUCUGCAAUCUGAACUGUUCAGAAACGACCUGUUUGUUUCACUCCAUAAAAAUUUUUACUUUUGGAAAAGUAACCUCUACUUUCUGAAAGAACAUGGAUGAUUUUGAGCGCCGCCGUGAGCUCAGGAGACAGAAACGUGAAGAGAUGCGACUUGAAGCUGAAAGAUUGGCUUACCAGAGAAAUGACGAUGAUGAAGAAGAAGCAGCUCGUGAAAGACGCCGCAGGGCUCGUCAGGAAAGAUUACGCAACAAAGAUGAUGAUGAGCCAACCAUCUUGAACACAGACAAGGCUGAGGUCAAUAAUCAGAACAGUCUGACUGAAGAUGAACCUAAAAACGCCAAAGAAACAGCGGAAACAACAGAGGAAGACACAGCUCUACUAGAAAAACUGGCCAGACGAGAAGAAAGACGUCAAAAAAGGCUGCAGGAAGCUAUGGAGAGACAAAGGGAGUUUGAUCCCACCAUUAGUGAUCAUAAAGUGACAACUACAGAAGAGAAAGUAGAGGUGAGAAGAGGCCGCUAUGGAGAGGAAGAUGUCGAGGAGAAAACAGAGAUAAAGACUUACCAAUAUAAUGACUGGAGAGAGAAGGAAGAAGAGAAAAGGGAAGAGGAGAAAGUUGAAGAACCAGUUCAGGAGGAGGAGGAAGAAGAAGAAGAAGCAGAAGAAGAACAGGUUGAAGAGGAACCCCAGGAAAAAAUCAUAGAAGAGAUGAAGGAUGAAAUUGAAGAAAAUCAGAAACAUUUCCGUCUAAGAGAGGAGAAGAUGGAUGAAAAGCCAAAAAGAUCUUUUAUGAGAGAGGAGGAAGCAAUUGAAGAAAAACCAAAGAAGCCUCUUCUGCAAGAAGAGGUUAUUGAAGAAAAACCAAAGAGGUCUUACUUGAGGGAUGAGAUUAACGAGGAGAAAGUGACCAGAGAAAAGGAGGUUGACACCAUUCAUCAUAAGAAAAAAGACCAAUCAGAAAUGAAACAUCAAAAUGGAGAUGACUUUUAUGAAGACACAAGUAACAAGUAUAAGAAAAUUGAGAGAAGUAUUAGUGUGAAGUCAAAUCCUGAGACAGAGGAGCAAGAUGCAGUUGCUCGGCUUGAAGCAGAACGCAAGCUGGAGGAACUACGUCGUCGCCGGGAUGAAACAGAAAGUGAAGAAUUUGAGAAGCUGAGGUUAAAGCAGCAAGAAGCUGAAGUUGAGCUGGAGGAGUUGAAAAGAAAGAGGGAGGAAAGGAGAAAAAUCUUGGAGGAAGAAGAAGACCGCAAGAAACAAGAAGAGGCUGAAAAGAAAGCCAAAGAAGAGGAGGAGAAGAGAAGAAUGAAGGAAGAAAUUGAGAGGAGACGAGCAGAGGCUGCUGAGAAAAGGCAAAAAAUUGCUGAAGAUUCUUCAUCAGAUGGUCAAGAGAAGAAGCCAUUUAAAUGUGUCAGUCCACGGGGAUCUUCUCUAAAGAUUGGAGAAAGGGCUGAAUUCCUCAAUAAAUCAGCACAGAAGAGUGUUAAAGCCUCACAUGCCCCAGUUGUUUCAAAGAUUGACAACAAGUUGGAGCAAUAUACCACAGCUGUCCAGACCAACAAAGAGACCAAGUCUGCUAAGCCUGCUGCUGCUGAUCUGCCUGUAGUUGGUGACGGCGUUCGUAAUAUUAAGAAUCUCUGGGAAAAGGGUGAUGUGUUCAGCACCGCUGGAAACCCUGGAACACCCAAUAAGGAAACAGCUGGUCUUAAAGUUGGAGUGGCAAGUCGUAUCAAUGAAUGGCUCACUAAAACGCCAGAAAGUAACAAAGCACCAGGAGGAAAGCCUGCUGACCUCAAGGCAGGAGAUGUAACAAAUAAACGUAGCUUAUGGGAAAAUAAAGCCUCUUCUCCAGAAAAAUCCAGCUCAUCUGCCAAGAUAUCUGUUAGCUAGUUGGCUUCAUCUUUUUGGAAGAUGCUGAAGAGGUGGCAGUGGGACGCCAGAGUAAAUCAGUUACCAAUGCAGGAAUGGGACACCUACCCUAGAAGACUGAAAGAAGAUUGAAGCAAAUCCCUAUCACCAAGCAAAACUAUCCUGUUUCAUAUUUAUAUUUAAAAACAAACCACCAUAGCCCAGGAAAAAAAAAUAUAUAUACAUUAGCACUGUAUUUAAAGGCCACCGUUUUACCGUUGUAAUUUCAUAUUUAAAGUAUAUUGCCUUUGCACAAGACCUUUUAUUUUUCUUAAAAAUAUGCUGUGAAAUUUGAACAUUUUUAUUGCUGCGAAUUCUUGAAAAAAGAAAAGCAAAACUGCAGAAUUUUAUUGACACGGCUACUAGGUGACGCAGCAUUCUUUCAUUGUUUGUAACUGAAAGGCUGCUUUAAGCAUUUUUAGUUGAAGAAGGUCCCUCAGCACUUUAGAUGUAGCAUGCUGAAUAUUAUUUUAAUUUUUUUUUAUUAUUAUUUCUUUACGUGGAAGAUUUUGUACCUUUAUUUUCUGCAGUUGAGUUUGACUUUUUUGUUCAUUUCAUUGUAUCCUUUAAUUAAUGUUCCCAGCAUAAGUACAGUAACAUAAACAAUUGGAUCCUCAUUUGCAGAAGCGUGGUACUGAUUUCUGUGGACGAUAUAGUAAGUGAGUAAUGACUGCAGUGAAUGUUUAGCACACAUACACACAUUGCUUUUAAAAGUUUAGCUUUACAGCACUACUAAGUAUGGUAGAAAGCUCUAAUAUAUGUUAAGACAUAUAGUUACAGACUUUAUCUUGUAGCCUUUACACUGCUUGUUAUUUAAAGUUUUUCACACAUUUUUAUAUUUAAGUCGCAUACCUGCCAUUUGAAGCUUUCGAGUUAUGGCAGUUUAAUUAUAAACCUAAUAGUGACCCUCAGCAUACUGGACGUGACCCAUCAUGUGUUGAUCAAGUUUGUGUUUUGAAUGUGCUGUUGUAUAUCGAUUAAGACAGUGGCAUUUUUAGAAAAGAGCAUUUAUUAACUAUGACCACUGUAUACUUCAUGAGUACUUCACAGCAUCAUGAUCAUUAGUGGUCUAUAGUGAAAAUUAAGAAAAGUAAAUAAAAGGAUAUAGAUUGCCUAUUUAGUGUUUUUUUUUUAUUCCCGUUAUUGAAAAAAUUUGCUUUAUUAAUUAUUGGUAGUGCAUUUUAAAGAUGAUUUUAUGAACUCAUUUGGGCAAACAAAACUAUAACUAUGUGGCAGGGAUCCUGAAAUUCUGUCCCAGAGUAGCAACCUAUUCACCAGCCAUUAGGUGCUGCUUAUUCAUUGCCUUAUCCCAGGUUUUUAUUGUUUUUUUUUUUAUUUUAGUUUAAUUGCAUCUUUACUCUCUACCUUCACUUAGUCUGCUAAUUCAGAAUUAAUGUGAAAUUUUAUAAUGAUGUGCAGAACAGUUGUGGUGUCUUGUAAACAGGAAUACCUUUAGUAACAUAUGUUUUAAUGUGAUGUUUUGUCACAAACACCCUUAAGAAUUAUUAAAGGGAUUUGAACAAUCAUUUCAGUGAAACAGAAUGUAAAUUUUAAGUAACAUUAAAAAAAACUACGGGUCGUAGCUUUAUUUGUAAACUUAAUUUUCAAAGCGGACAUAGGUUAAUGAGAAGUUUAUUUUAACACUGUCUACUGACUGUCUGUAAUAUCUGGUAGGUGUCAGUGAAUACUGCUGUCCACUGUAGUUUUACCAGGCUGAGCAUGGGCACCAUUAUAAUAAUCAUGAAAUCCAAAACCCUGUUCUGAGUUUGUACAAGAAUUAUUCGGUAUGUUCAUAAAUUUAGUGUUUUAUUUGUCCUAAGAUCUUAUUAAAAAGUAUUAAAAAUGCAUUAUUAUAAAUUUAGUUCUCAGGCUCAGUCAUUUGAUCCCUUCCUUUUUAAUUGUUUUGAAAUCUGACUAAUGAUUGCUGUGGACUUACACUAGCUUCCCACAACCCUGAAUUGGAAUAAGUGGGUUUUUAGACUUGUGCAGUAUCUGAUGUAAUUAUUGCAACAAUUCAGUUGCCCAAAGUUAAUGUUGAAUUGAAAUUAGAUGUGUGCAGACCAGAUAAUGUAUUUUACAUUAAAUUUAUAGGAAAGCCCUCUUAUAGUACAUUUGCUGCAAAAAAUAGAAGCAGACAAAUUAUUUUUAUACUGAUAGUGAAAGGCAAGUUCAGCCUCCCCAGAUCUUCAUAAACAAUAUCAAAUUAGAGCAGUUUAGUAUUUAAAAACAUACUUCAUUUCAGCCUAUUUCAAGAAUGUUUAAUUUUCCUUUGUACACCCUAAAAUUCAAAUAAGCCUUUUGGUGUUUUCAUAUACUGCUGUGCAUUUAGGGAGGGAAUAUACUGUAUUGUCACUUUGCUUGCCUUGUGCUGGUGCUCACAUACACAUAAAAUGCAGUAAAGAAGUAUUACAAAUGACAUUACUGGGGAAAUUUUUAAUACCUUUUUUAUGUACUUUUAUUUUUGAUUGAAUAUUUUAAGUCAUUAUAUUAGGGUUAAACUAUGCAAUUGUCUUAGCGUUUUCUAUCAGUUAUGCCAUUGUUUCAAAACACUUUGGGUAUUUCUGUUGUAGCUGAUAGCUUUAUACAAAUAAAUGUUAAAAUAUAUAAUUGAAAUUCAAACCACAAUAAAUAUGUACAAAAUCAA